AACUAGCCCCGAUCGAAGUGGAAAUCCUUGUUGCCCGAACCCCAGGCAACAAGAUUACAACGGAGAGCGGGACGAUGC
rnacentral:sRNA from 1 species